rnacentral:tRNA from 1 species
CAUUAAAUGACUGAAAGCAAGUACUGGUCUCUUAAACCAUGUUAUAGUAAUCUAGCAN